rnacentral:rRNA from 1 species
UACGGAGGGUGCAAGCGUUAAUCGGAAUUACUGGGCGUAAAGAGUACGUAGGUGGCUUGUUAAGUCAGAUGUGAAAGCCCCGGGCCUAACCUGGGAACUGCAUUUGAAACUGGCAAGCUAGAGUUGAGUAGAGGGGAGUGGAAUUUCAGGUGUAGCGGUGAAAUGCGUAGAUAUCUGAAGGAACACCAGUGGCGAAGGCGACUCCCUGGACUCAAACUGACGCUGAGGUACGAAAGCGUGGGUAGCAAACAGG